UCUCUAGUAGCUUAGCGGUAAAGCGUUUGGCUGUUAACCAAAAAAUCAUAGGUUCAAAUCCUAUCUAGAGAGA
rnacentral:tRNA from 1 species